rnacentral:rRNA from 1 species
CAGGGGGAUAGCCCAGAGAAAUUUGGAUUAAUACCCCAUAGUAUAGUGAGUUGGCAUCAACCUACUAUUAAAGUCACAACGGUAAAAGAUGAGCAUGCGUCCCAUUAGCUAGAUGGUAAGGUAACGGCUUACCAUGGCUACGAUGGGUAGGGGUCCUGAGAGGGAGAUCCCCCACACUGGUACUGAGACACGGACCAGACUCCUACGGGAGGCAGCAGUGAGGAAUAUUGGACAAUGGGCGCAAGCCUGAUCCAGCCAUGCCGCGUGCAGGAUGACGGUCCUAUGGAUUGUAAACUGCUUUUGUACGAGAAGAAACACUCCUUCGUGAAGGAAUUUGACGGUAUCGUA